GAUGAACGCUGGCGGCGUGCCUAAUACAUGCAAGUCGAACGGAGUUUGUAGCAAUACAGACUUAGUGGCGAACGGGUGAGUAACGCGUUGGUGACCUGCCCCGAAGUGGGGGAUAACGGCUCGAAAGGGCUGCUAAUACCCCAUGCGGUCAUUGGGAUUAGAAUCCGAUGACCAAAGGAUUUAUUCGCUUCGGGAGGGCCUGCGUCCCAUCAGCUAGUUGGUAGGGUAAUGGCUUACCAAGGCUAUGACGGGUAGGGGACCUGAGAGGGUGGCCCCCCACAAUGGAACUGAAACACGGUCCAUACACCUACGGGUGGCAGCAGUAGGGAAUAUUGGUUAAUGGGCGAAAGCCUGAACCAGCAACGCCGCGUGUGCGAUGAAGGCCUUCGGUCGUAAGCACUUUUGUUCCGGAGCGAACGGGAGCGGUGAAUAUCCGCUUCUACUGACGGUACCGGAAGGAAUAAGCACCGGCUAACUACGUGCCAGCAGCCGCGGUAAGUCUCG
rnacentral:rRNA from 1 species